rnacentral:rRNA from 1 species
UACGUAGGGUGCGAGCGUUAAUCGGAAUUACUGGGCGUAAAGCGUGCGCAGGCGGCGCGUUAAGACAGGUGUGAAAGCCUCGAGCUUAACUUGGGAAUUGCGCUUGUGACUGGCGUGCUGGAGUGUGGCAGAGGGAGGUGGAAUUCCACGUGUAGCAGUGAAAUGCGUAGAGAUGUGGAGGAACACCGAUGGCGAAGGCAGCCUCCUGGGCCAGCACUGACGCUCAUGCACGAAAGCGUGGGGAGCAAACGGGG